CUACGGGUCGCAGCAGCUAGGGAUAAUCUACAAUGCACGCAAGUGUGAUAGUUUGAGCCAGAGUGAUUUUCUAUUUGAAAAUCUUUUGCUAAAUGUAAAAAGUUUGGCGAAUAAGGACUGGGUAAGACGAGUGCCAGCCGCCGCGGUAAUACUCGCGGUCCAAGUCGCAGCCAUUUUUAUUGGGUCUAAAACAUCCGUAGCUUGUUUUUUAAGUUCCUUGUGAAAUCUCAUGUCUCAAGCAUGAGGCGGGCAAGAAAUACUAUUAAACUAGAGACUGGAAGACGUAAUGAGUACGUUGGAAGUAACGGUAAAAUGUGUUAAUCUUCAACGGACUUACAACAGCGAAGGCACGUUACGAGAACAGUUCUGACAGUGAGGGAUGAAGGCUAGGGGCGCAAAACGGAUUAGAUACCCCCGUAGUC
rnacentral:rRNA from 1 species